UACGUAGGGUCCAAGCGUUGUCCGGAAUUAUUGGGCGUAAAGAGCUCGUAGGCGGUCUGUUGCGUCGGUUGUGAAAACCUGGGGCUCAACUCCAGGCCUUCAAUCGAUACGGGCAGACUAGAGUUCGGUAGGGGAGACUGGAAUUCCUGGUGUAGCGGUGAAAUGCGCAGAUAUCAGGAGGAACACCGGUGGCGAAGGCGGGUCUCUGGGCCGAAACUGACGCUGAGGAGCGAAAGCGUGGGGAGCGAACAGG
rnacentral:rRNA from 1 species